GUUUCCCCAUUCCCAAAUUCAUAUUCCUUGUUGACAACUUCAAUGCUUGCAAGCAACACAAAUGCCCACUCCUCAUCUCUACAUCUCCAUCCUCAUCCUCAUCCCCAUCCUCAUCCUCAAACUUCUCAAUCCCACCAUUCCUGUUGCUGAUCAUAACUUCCUUUUGAUCCGUCGAAUUAUCGCAUUCGUAAUCCUCCCACAGUGAAUCCAUACCUUCUUCGCCUCCUCGUGAAUUGUACCGUUCCUCGAAUAACUUACACGCUAACGUCCUCCUCCAUUCCUUCUCCUCCUUCAUCGAAUAAUUCGACCUCCAUGAACUCGAUUUAACUGAAUUUUCACUGUGUUUGUCGUUAUCGUCAUCGUUUGAAUUUCUCGCUACGGAUCCGAUAACUUCAUCUGAAUCUGUUUCGGUUUCAGUUGCCGUUGUGAAAUCCUCAAAUCUGUCCAAUUCUUCCAACAAUUUCUCCACACUUUUUUCAUUAUUUGAUUCAUCCACGCAUGAAUCGGUAAUUGUGACGUCAUUUCUCCGGACUCCAUGAACGGAAGUUUCUGGAAGCUUCUCGAAACCUGUUUUUUCAAAACCUGAAACGCUAGAUGUGACGUCAUUUCCCCGGCCGCCGUGAACUGAGUUUUCCGUGAUCUUCACGAAACUUAAUUUAUCAGUAUCUGAAUAUAUAAUUCUAUCGACAUUUCUCCGGCCGACGUGAACAGAGCGUUCUGGAGUCUUCUCGACGCCUAAUUUUUCAAAACCUAAAACGAUAAGCGUGACGUUAUUUCUCCGGCCGCCGUGAACUGAAUUUUCCGUGAUCUUCUCGAAACCUAAUUUAUCAGUAUCGGAAUCACUAACUGUGACGUCAUUUCUCCGGCCGCCGUGAACAGAAGUUUCUAGAAGCUUCUCGACGCCUAAUUUUUCAGAAUCCGAAUUGCUAAUUGUGACGUCAUUUCUCCGGCUGCCGUUAACUGAACUUUUCGGAAGCUUCUCGACGCCUAAUUUUUCAGAAUCUGAAUCGUUGUCUGUGACGUCAUUUCUCCGGCCGCCGUAAACGGAACCGUCUGGAUUCUUCUCCACGCCUAAUUUAUCUGAAUCGCUAAUUGUGACGUCAUUUCUCCGGCCAGCGGGAACUGAACUUUCUGUAAACUUCUCGAUACCUAAUUCAUCCAGAUCUGAAUAACAGCUAGGUUUAACAUCAUUUCUCCAGCCUCCACUAACCGAACAGUCUAGAACCUUCUUCGUUGAACACAUUUCUCCAUCGCCGAUCGAUAACGUACUGUCAAACACAAUUUUACAAAUCUCAAAAUCCUCAAAGUUCCGAUCCUUUUCGUAACCGUUAACCUCAUCUAAAUUCGACUUGAGUUCCUGAAUAACAGUCUGAAGGAUUCCGAGUUCCAGCUGCGGUAAGUUAGGGCAGAAUGCGGUAGUGGUGGUGAGGAGGAGAGAGAGGAAGACGGUGGCGAUGAACAGAGGAGAGAUGAAGGAGAUGAGUUUGAUGAAGUAGCGAGAGAAGAAGAUGAAGUAAGAGGAGUAGAGAGGGUGAGAUAUUAUUAUGGAGCAAAUGAGAGAUAUAUCAUGGAGGAUUGUGUUUAGAGGAAGACAACAAUGGCAGAAUGUGGUGACAGUGAAGAAGAAGAUGAUGAUGGUGAGACUGUGAAAGUGAGAGUGAGAGUGAGUUUUCAGUUUUGGUCUGCUGCUUUGUUUUCUGACUUUUAUUGUUGACUAUUUUCGGUUAGUAAUAAAUGAGU
rnacentral:lncRNA from 1 species